UGUGGGAGGGGGCUUGCUCCCGAUAGCGGUGUGUCAGUCAACGCUUUAUGACUGACAGAUCGCCAUCGGGGGCAAGCCCCCUCCCACA
rnacentral:misc_RNA from 1 species